UACCCGGAGUGGACGUCUUGCC
rnacentral:misc_RNA from 1 species